CCUCAUAGCAGUGUUCUGGAAACCUACGUGAGGGACAAACAUUCAGACCACAGCAGGUGUGUUCUGGAAUCCUAUGUGAGGGA
rfam:Pongo abelii chromosome 3.